rnacentral:rRNA from 1 species
AAUGAACGCUGGCGGCGUGCUUUACACAUGCAAGUCGAGCGAGGCCGGGUAGCAAUACCCGAGUCGAGCGGCGCACGGGUGAGUAACGCGUGGAUGAUCUGCCUUUGGGUGGGGGAUAACCCGGGGAAACUCGGGCUAAUACCGCAUAAAACCGCGAGGUCAAAGGGGGCCGCAAGGCUCUGGCCGAAAGAGGAGUCCGCGUCCGAUUAGCUAGUUGGGAGGGUAAUGGCCUACCAAGGCGACGAUCGGUAGCCGGCCUGAGAGGGUGAUCGGCCACACUGGAACUGAGACACGGUCCAGACUCCUACGGGAGGCAGCAGUGGGGAAUUUUGCGCAAUGGGCGAAAGCCUGACGCAGCAACGCCGCGUGGAGGAUGAAGGUCUUCGGAUUGUAAACUCCUGUCAGUGGGGAAAAAGGGGAACGGGCUCAUACCCCGUUUCAUUGAUUGUACCCGCAGAGGAAGCCCCGGCUAACUCUGUGCCAGCCGCCGCGGUAAAAC